rnacentral:rRNA from 1 species
CCCUUAGAUGUUCUGGGCCGCACGCGUGCUACACUGAGUGGAUCAGCGGGUCAGGUUGCGCGAAAGUGUUUCCUAACCUUUAAAUCCGCUCGUGAUGGGGAUUGACGGUUGCAAUUUUCCGUCAUGAACGAGGAAUACCUUGUAAGCGCGGGUCAUCAUCCCGCGCUGAAUACGUCCCUGCCCUUUGUACACACCGCCCGUCGCUCCUACCGAUUGAGUGGUCCGGUGAGGCUUUGGGAUCUGAGCGGAAAGAGCGUUUCGCUGUUUCUGCCCGGAAAACUCAGUCGAACCUUAUCAUUUAGAGGAAGGAGAAGUCGUAACA